rnacentral:rRNA from 1 species
GAUGAACGCUAGCGGGAGGCCUAACACAUGCAAGCCGAGCGGUAGAGAUCUUUCGGGAUCUUGAGAGCGGCGUACGGGUGCGGAACACGUGUGCAACCUGCCUUUAUCUGGGGGAUAGCCUUUCGAAAGGAAGAUUAAUACCCCAUAAUAUGUUGGAUGGCAUCAUUCGACAUUGAAAACUCCGGUGGAUAGAGAUGGGCACGCGCAAGAUUAGAUAGUUGGUGAGGUAACGGCUCACCAAGUCUGCGAUCUUUAGGGGGCCUGAGAGGGUGAUCCCCCACACUGGUACUGAGACACGGACCAGACUCCUACGGGAGGCAGCAGUGAGGAAUAUUGGACAAUGGGUGAGAGCCUGAUCCAGCCAUCCCGCGUGAAGGACGACGGCCCUAUGGGUUGUAAACUUCUUUUGUAUAGGGAUAAACCUACUCUCGUGAGAGUAGCUGAAGGUACUAUACGAAUAAGCACCGGCUAACUCCGUGCCAGCAGCCGCGGUAAUACGGAGGGUGCAAGCGUUAUCCGGAUUUAUUGGGUUUAAAGGGUCCGUAGGCGGAUCUGUAAGUCAGUGGUGAAAUCUCACAGCUUAACUGUGAAACUGCCAUUGAUACUGCAGGUCUUGAGUGUUGUUGAAGUAGCUGGAAUAAGUAGUGUAGCGGUGAAAUGCAUAGAUAUUACUUAGAACACCAAUUGCGAAGGCAGGUUACUAAGCAACAACUGACGCUGAUGGACGAAAGCGUGGGGAGCGAACAGGACUAGAUACCCUGGUAGUCCACGCCGUAAACGAUGCUAACUCGUUUUUGGGCUUUCGGGUUCAGAGACUAAGCGAAAGUGAUAAGUUAGCCACCUGGGGAGUACGAACGCAAGUUUGAAACUCAAAGGAAUUGACGGGGGCCCGCACAAGCGGUGGAUUAUGUGGUCUAAUUCGAUGAUACGCGAGGAACCUUACCAAGGCUUAAAUGGGAAAUGACAGGUUUAGAAAUAGACUUUUCUUCGGACAUUUUUCAAGGUGCUGCAUGGUUGUCGUCAGCUCGUGCCGUGAGGUGUUAGGUUAAGUCCUGCAACGAGCGCAACCCCUGUCACUAGUUGCCAUCAUUAAGUUGGGGACUCUAGUGAGACUGCCUACGCAAGUAGAGAGGAAGGUGGGGAUGACGUCAAAUCAUCACGGCCCUUACGCCUUGGGCCACACACGUAAUACAAUGGCCGGUACAGAGGGCAGCUACACAGCGAUGUGAUGCAAAUCUCGAAAGCCGGUCUCAGUUCGGAUUGGAGUCUGCAACUCGACUCUAUGAAGCUGGAAUCGCUAGUAAUCGCGCAUCAGCCAUGGCGCGGUGAAUACGUUCCCGGGCCU